UUAGGUUGGGAUCUGUGGAUGCAAUAUCAUUUGGUAUGAGUUGAGAGAAGCAUGCAGGAAAUUGAGGCCCACCCUAGAGGUUCCAGGACUGGGGGAAAUAUAGGUCCUAUAGAGGAAGUGGGAGCUUCCUGCUGUCUUAGGGUUAAGAAGACAAUAGAUAGUUAUUGCUAUAAUCACAUUAUUUGGCAACUUUGAAAUAUCCCUUUGUUAGGAUUUGCUGUAUCAUACACAACAUCACCAUAAUUUAUGUUCUUUGACAUUAUUUGUAUAUAGCUGUGGAGAGUCCAACACUUUAUCCACUGUGCCACCUCCAGGGGGACCCUGAUCUUCUCUAGUGGGCAGCAAAGAACUCAGAAACUAAGCGACAAACUUGGAGUUCGUUUAGCUAAGCGGUGGUAGAAUUGUGAAGAUGUCAGCUUUUUCAAAUUCUUCAGCCUAUGAAUGAUGAGGAAAUGAUGAUCUGAGGAUGUAACUUUUCACAGCUGCUAAGGAUUAGAUUUAGCCAUAGAACACAAUGUCUUUAAAUCUCACAAUGAAAUAAAUAACCAGGCGGUGAAUGCAUCUAGGUGAAUGAAAAAAUUACCAGUGAGGUAAUCUUUCCUCUAUCAGAUCCAGAUAUAAUCAAAGCUCUGUAAUCAACCACCAAUUUAUAUGAAAUACAGAUGAUAGAAAUAUCUUUUAUCUAUACCGUGGUGGUAAAAUCAACAAAAUCCAAACUAUGGGAAACUCUAAAAGACAUAUACUGGGUGUGGGUAGAUAGCAGAAUGGUUAUGCAAAGAGACUCAUGCCUGAGGCUGCAGAGUACCAGGUUCAAUCCUCCACACCACCAUAAGCCAGAGCUGAGCAGUGUUCUGGUUAAAAAAAAAAAAAAGGCAGUAACACAGCGGGUUAAGCACAGAUGGUGCAAAGCACAAGGAUACUGGUUCGAGCCCUCAGCUCCCCACCUGCAGGAAAGUCGCUUCACAAGCUGUAAAGCAGGUCUGCAGGUGUCUAUCUUUUUCUCCCCCUUCUGUUUCCCCUCCUCUCUCCAUUUCUCUCUGUCCUAUCCAACAACAAUGACAUCAAUAACAACAACAAUAAUAAAUACAACAAUAAAUAACAAAGGCAACAGAGGGAAUAAAUAAAUAUAUUUUUUAAAAAAGACAUAUCUUCUGGAGAAUAGAAGACACAAAAGAGAAACCUCAAGAAUGAAAAAGAACAGCAUUAUUAAAAGUAAAAACUACACUAUAAUUGUAGAAGUUUAAAUUAUAAAAUAGAGCAAAGAAAUGAUCAUUAUAAAAGUUAAUACCAGCUUUUAUUUGGGGAUGGGGAGAUGCUAUGACUGAAAUUGGAAAUUGGAGGGGCAAUGGCUGGUUGGCAAAUUUUUAUCUCUUUGAUGGUUAUAGCUUGUCUUAUUAAGUGGCAUUCAAUUUUUUUUCAUUAUCUUUAUUUAUUGGAUAGAGACAGUCAGAAAUCGAGAGAGUAGGAGAGAUAGAGAGGGAGAGAGAAAGAGAGACACCUGCAUCCCUGCUUCACCAUUUGCAAAGCUUUCCUUCUGCAGGUGGUGACCGGGGGCUCAAACCUGGGUCCUUGAGCACUAUAACAUGUGCACUCAACCAGUUGUGCCACCACCCGAUCCCUUAAGUGGCAUUGUUUUUAGACACUUGUUCUUUUUGGUAUCUGUGUUUUAUUUUACAAUAAGGUGUAAAAUAAAAGUAAAAUAAAAUAACAAACUACAAAAUUCAUACCACACAAAACUCUUACCACGUAGUGUUUGGAGCACAGAGCACCCCAAAGAACAAGAGGCCUAAGGACUUCCCCUAACACACACACACACACACACACACACACACACACACACACACACACACACACACACACACACACACUUGCCCUCGACAGUAGCUCCUGGAGUUCCAUGGUGUGAAACUUUUUAUCUCUGAACUUGAUGUAGUGAGGAAGGAACAGUUUCAAGCUCAGAAAAACCUAUAGAUUCACAGGAGGGGCAGCCUACCUGACCAGUGGCUGCUGGUGGAAGAAUGACCCACCUCACACCUUAGAGGGAGCAGAUCAAAUCAGAACUCUCAGUGAUUCUUCCCAAACCUCAACUACUGGUGCUGUUAUAGUCCAAACCCAACCAAAAGCCAAAUGGCAAUAGAAGACAGACAGUGCUGAAAGCAGAAGUCAGCAGCGUAGGGUAGUUAGGUAAGGACUCUGGGGUGAGGAGAGUGGAGAAUAAUGAGCGCACUUGCUACCGUGUUGACAUUAAUGUCUCAAUUCACAGUGUCCCCAGUCUCUCACAUCUGAGUGAGUGACAGUAUUUAAUAUUAGAUUUGUGCAGCCCAGAACCCUCCUGGCUAACCACUAAUGAACUUCUUCUCGGCUUUCCUCCAAGAAUAUACUGCUUUUGGCAUCUUAUUGUAAUUUAGCAUUGAUGGAGUUUAUAGUAGCUUAAGGCUAUAUUGCUUUUUUUUUUUUUUUUUUUUGCUUCCAGGGUUAUCUCUGGGGCUUGGUGCCUACACUACAAAUCCACUACUCCUAGAGGCUAUUCCCCCCCCCCCCAUUUAUGUUGCUACUGCUGUUGUGGUUGUUGGAUAGGGCAUAGAGAAAUUGAGAGAGGAAAGGAAGACAGAGAGGGAGGAGAACAAUAUCUUUAGAUAUAGGCCAUAUAUUUUUUCUGCCAGUUUUAUUGCUGGGACACUCACUGUGUAGCAUAACCUCAUGACUGACUCUUUAAUUUAUUGCUUUUUUUUUUUUUUAACUAAACAGGGUGAGAAACAGAGAGGAGAGACACUGCAGCUCUGUGUGCUCAUUAUUCUACAUUCUUCUCACCCCAGAGUCCUUACCUAACUACUCCACCCUGCUGCAUGACUUCUGCUUUCAGCAUGGUCUGUCUUCUAUUGCCAUAUGGCUUCUGGUUGUAUUUGGACUAUAACAGCACUAGACAUUGAAGAUUGGGAAGUGAGGGGUCUCGUACAAUCCUUGUGUGGGUCCUUGCACUUUGCACUGUGUACGCUUAACCCAGUGCAUUACUGCCCAGCUUCUUAUUGUUUUUUAAAAAAACUUAUGAUUGGUGAGUCCAACGCUUUAUCCACUGUGCCACUUCAUGGGAUACAAGGUUGCAUUUUGUUUAGUUUUGAAAAUGAUAAUUAUGUCUAUCUAUACAUAUAGACCACAUGAUAUUUUUCCUACCAGUUUUAUUGCUGGGAAGCGGUGCAGCAUAACCCCAUGGUGGACUCUUUAAUUUAUUAUUAUUUUUUAACUAAACAGGUGAGAAACAGAGAGGAGAGACACUGCAGCACUGCUUGUCACCCUAUAGGUGCUCUCCCUGGUGACUGGUGGUUUGAACCUGGGUCUUGGUUUGAGCACAUUGAAAAGAGUGAGCUCUACCGGCUGAGCCAUCUUCUGGUCCCUGCUGCAUUUCUAAUUAAACAGGCUAUCAGAAGAAGCCCCUGUUUGGCAGGUCCCAGGUCCCAGGUCCCAGCUCUGGGAAUAAAGACCUUAUCUACCCAUUGAUGUUGCUACUACUGUUAUGGUUGUUGGAUAGAACAUAGAAAAAUUGAGAGAGGAAGAGAAGACAGAGAGGGGGAGAGAACAAUGUAUCUAUCUAUAGGACAUAUAUUUUGGCUGCCGGUUUUAUUGCUGGGGCACUCUGUAGCAUAACCCCCAAUUGACUCUUUAACUUAUUGUUAUUUUUUAAAUAUUUAUUAAUUACCUUUUGUUGCCCUUGUUGUUUUAUUGUUGUUGUUGGAUAGGACAGAGAGAAAUGGAGAGAGGAGGGGAAGAUAGAGGGGGAGAGAAACAUAGACGCCUGCAGACCUGCUUCACCACCUGUGAGUGAAGUGGGCAGCUGUGGUGGUGCCUUCUGGAGAGUAGCAGAAAUACACCUGCCAUGUGCAGCACAUCUCCUCAGCCAGAGAUGGGGUAAGGAGGAAGAUGAGGGGCAGAGUUUCUGAGAGAAUGCAGAGCCCUCGACACCCUCCAUAGGUAAGGACUCAAGACUGAAGUCUGGACCCUUCACCUUCCCUUUAGAGAGCCUCCUCAGUUUCCUGUUCUCACAACUGUCAUCAGUGUUGUCCUGGUUUUUUGUGUGCUCAUUGCCAUGGUUGGAUUUGUGAUGUGGAGAUAGUGCUCAAGUAGGAAAAUAAGGGGAGAGUAGUCCUAAAUGUUCUAUCCUGAUGGAAGUUUUCAACCAGAGGUAGAAAUUAGCUAACCCUAUUAGUGCAAAGUAUCACUCACACUAUGCAUUAUGCAUUCUGGUUGCUACCACUGUUUUGCCAAGAUCCUGUGAAGAUUGAAGACAUAUUUGUAACCGUGAUAAAUCUGGCCACAGGGUCCAGAUUCCUAGCAGUGGAAGGUUACAGGGAAUACUCCUGCUGAGGAGAAAGCUCCAGGAGAAGGUUGCUAUAGUCUAAGGACACCCUUUUCUUCAUGUUUCUAAUCCUGCUCUGGGUCUUCAGUCACCGGUCUAAAAACUUGUGAUCCCGGAUGACAAGAUUCCUCUAGCAUAGAAUGGCCUAGACUUUCUCCUUAAUCUUAUGUUUCUUCUCUCAGGUAAAAAAAAAAAAAAAAAAAAAAAAGGAAAGAACUACUCUCAGGCUACAAGUAAAUAUUGAGGGAAAUUGGGUAUUGAGGAGGACAUGAUGCCUGAGGCCCUUGAGAAAGUGUAGAAGGAUUUCUUUGGUUGAAUUUAGUCACCCCAUAAAUCCACUUUUAGUCUAAUCUUUUGUGACCUCUGACUAUGGCUUUCUUACUUGUUCUCACCCCAGGAAAUGAGAGUGCCCAGGGCUCUGAUACAUCUCUCAUGAGUCCUAAAGUGUGAGAUGACUGUCUUGUAUGGACUCAAUGAUGGAAGAUUUAUUCCUGUACUUAUUUUGUCACUUUAAGAUUCUUCUGAUUCUCUUUCUAUAAAAGGAAUCUGAAUGUU